ensembl:lncRNA
AUGCUUGGGCUUAUUAAAAAGACAUAUCGAGAAAAUGUUUUUUCCUUUAUUUUAACAGUCGCCGAAGAAGAAGUGGAUGAUGGGAUUUCAGGAGCUACACCAGAGACAGUGAAAUGGGUUAUUGAUAAACAUAUUGAUAAAAUCCCUAACAGUCAACCAUGGCUGCAGCCCUCCACCAGCCAGGGCUUUAUAGCAGUGGCCCGUCAGAAGCCUCUCCUCAGACACGCAAAAGCCUGCAUGGAGUUUGCUCAAAGACACCCGAAGUAUGGCGUCCACCAACGUUUACCAUCCAGCCAGCCAGAAUUAGAGGGGAUCUGCAAGGAGGAACGGCAGAGGAUCCUCACAUCCAGGUGUAAGAAACGUGUUGCAUCUUUACCAAGUGUGUACAUUAAUGAGGAAAUAUAUAUAUUUUAUUCAUGUUAGUAAAUGGCUGCAAUAUAACAGAGUGAAAUAAUUGACAGGUGUCUAAAUACUUUUCGUACCCACUGGAAACAAAUAGCUACUUUGAACAAUUAAAACAAAUCAUAAACUAUGUUUAUAAACUAUAUGCUAUAUUAAAUCUUUUUUGGUAACAUUUUACAUGAGGGAGUAGGCAGGACUUCAGGUAUUAAAGUCGAUGACUAGAAGGAUGGGUGUUUGUUCAGACAUUAACUUCUAGGUUUUUCCAGGUUCUAGAUGUUGAUUAGUGUUCUUAUUUAGCCAGUUUUUAAACUAGAAUUUGAUGGGACUUUAAUGUCCCCAUUUGCACAAACUCACACACACACACUUUCUCUUCAAAUUAGUCAAGAUUGUUGCUCAUCACAUUUAAGUUUAACUUGAGUUAACUUCAGUUAAUGUCAAACAUCCCAGCAGUUUAAGUUUGGCCAGAAGACAAGAGUCAAACAGAAUUUAAUAUCGAGUAAAUUAUUACAGCCCGAUCUUUCUUUAGGACUCUCGUUGACCCUUCACAUAAAUUUACAUAUUAAGUGGAGGUGGAGAAGCAUACUGAUAUUUACUGACAAAUUAGGAAUGCUCUUUUCAAGCUCUGCUUAGAAGCCUACUAGCAUCUCUAAAAGGUUAUAUUAUGCUAAUUUAAAAUUGCAUGCCCAAAGAGCUGGUGCUCAACCCCAAUUCAUGAAACAUCUGACGACAUGGUUGAAUGUUUGUGCCCAUAGUAGAUUCCCUUCACUCAUCGAUGUGAUGCUAACACUUGUGAAAAGCUAUUUUGUUAAAAAUAGACUGGUUAUUUGAGCUGAUUGCCAUGACUACUGGAUGCAACUGUUGAAUGCCUCACCUACAGUAUUAUCACCUGAAAGUUAUGAGUGAAACUCCUUUCUUCCACUGGUCCCACUGCUUUCUAUCUAAAAUGAAUUGAUUCUGUUAAGUUCUUAAGUAUAUCUCAUGUCUACAUAAUGUCUAUAUCUUACUUUUUGGUCUCGUUUCUAUUGGCUCAUUACAUCUUCUAAUGGAUGUACCUUCCAGCUGUUCAUUGUCACUGGUAAUUAGAUGAUGAUCUGCACCAAAAGAAUACUAUAUGAAGAUGAAUUCUGAGGGCAAUGGGUGGAAUUAAAGAGUGGAAAGAGUCCAUCUUCAAAUGCCCUAAUUAAGCUGGAAAAUGGCUGGGGGGCACAAGAUAGGGAUGAGAAUCUAUUUUCAAAUACAAAAUAUAUAUAUAUAUAUAUAUAAAGUUCAGCAGCAUGCCUCAUUUUGUGCAUGAAAAGAUAUUGCUGCUGCAUGGAGGCAUAGUGAAAACUCUCACUUCCAACCUACUCCUCUCACAUCCCUGAAUAUUUAUCCAAUCUGAUGCCACCACCACACUGAUGCAGUCUCCAAAACAAAAUGAGUCUAUCUAUCCCUUCUGUACCUCAGCAGUACUAGCUGCCACUGCAGACAUGUAAACACAUUUGAUCUUUAGUGAAAGAAACUGCUUAAAAUGUGCCACUUCAGUCACUACUGACGCCCAUGCAUUUGCAUAUUUGUUGAAUUUGUAAUCAGCCUUAAUAUAACAUGCAGGAUAAGAACAUAGGGAGAGCCCAUCACCUUGAGUGGUUGUGACAAAGUUUUUUUUUAUCCAUUACUGAGUCACAACCUUUAGGAGAUUUUAGACAUAUUCUGUUCCAUGACAGUGCAAAUGAGCAUCACGCUUCAGGUAUCACACGUUGGGUGUCAAAUGGGCAUUGCGGAGAACAUUCCACUGUAUGUUUACAAUUAGAGUCAUUUCUAUCUGACAUAUGUUUUGAACAAGCUGCACAGUGGAGUGGUGAUUAGAGCUGUUGCCUUGCAGCAAGACGGCCCUGGGAUCUUUCUGCAUGGAGUUUGCAUGUUCUCCCUAUGCAUGCAUGGGUUCUCCGGCUUCCUCCCACAGUCCAAAAACAUGAUUGAGGUUGAUUGGUCUGUCUAAAUUGUCCUUGGGUGUGUGUGUGUGUGUGUGUGUGUGUGCACAAUUGUUUGUCCUGUGUGUCUCUGGUUCAGAAAAUGGAUGGAUGGAUGGACAUGUUUUGAACAUGCGCUGCAUCAGAUUGUCUUAUUAGAAAAUUCUAUAUUAGAUUGCCAGUCUCGUGUCAUCAAAUGCAUUUCAUUUGUUAUCAAUGGAAAUCUUUAACAGACAUGUUUACCAAAAGUUUGCUGCAAAUGUGUUGCAUGAAAUGGACAUACUUACUCUCCAUACACGAAAGAAAAUGAAGAUGGUUGGAUUCUUGGUUCAUUGGAUUCCUAAAGGUGCAUGACGUAAGAAUGACAUCCUGUGGUCAAAUUUGAAUACUGCAUUCUACAUAUUGAAACCAAAAACAGACUUCCCCGGCGCGAGUCAAGAUGGGUGAGUCCAUGAACGUUAAGUCACAGUGUGACUUCUGUCAGGCUUUUCAAAUCCUAGAGAUUCACCGUCUAUUUUGUAUCAGAAGCGAAUGCAGGAGAUAAGUGUAGGAGACUAUUUUCAUGUUCAGACAGCAUGAAAAACCCAGAGUGACUGAUAAUCAGAAAUAAUAAACACUGAAUUUUUUUUCAGAGUUCCACAAAAGCUCUGGUGUAAUACUAAAAAUUGAAAACCAUAUAUUACAAAUUUUUGCUUAAGGCAUUAAAGUUGUUUUAUAAUCCCGCAGACAAGCUAGGUUUUGAACACAAACACAGUCACGGAACGGUAUCUUCCCUGAGAUGCUUCUGCUGGCAAAAUGAGAGAGUGCUAAACACCAGUCUCUGUUUUCUAGGUCUCUAUACCUUUUGUUGUCUAUGACUUCAAAAUGGUGUUUUUCCUUUUGGGACUCUGAUAGUUUGUCCUAAAGUAGAAGUGAUAGCAGCUGGCUGUUUCUCCUUCUCUGAUAUUAUUGAGUGGAGAAUCUCUCACACCAGUGGUGUUCUGUUGCCAGUGCAAAAUUAAUGGAGGACCCAGGGAAGUUUGGAAGGGCGGCGAUUCAGCAAACCUGACAACCGGAUGGUCCAGUGGUUGCUAUCAGUCUUAAAUGUGUUAUUGGCAGAGGUUUUUAGACAAAUGCGAGAUAACCACUUCAUUAAAUUCUGUUCUCUUUUUUAUUCACCACUAUUUAUUUAUAGACCCAUUGCAUGUUAUUGUUUACAUCCGGUAAUUUGUGUAAUUACUAUAACAAGUCUGUUACCGUGGGCCACACAGAACUACACACCACACCGGCCUUGUCAUUUUCACACACUUUUAUUUCCCAGGACUGGUCAACAGCACAGCUCCUCUCCACUGCUGAAUCCGCUUGGUCGAUUGGUUCUUCCCCGGCUGACUCCUCAUCCUCAUGGCGGCGCAUAGUUUUAUAAAAAAGCACACAAGUCAUUAGAUGACUAUAACUUGUUUCUGGACAUGUGGAGCAGAUAUUUUAUUUUGUCAUGAGACUUUGUCUGCCACAAUGUGAGUGGUUUAUCCACCAGAAAUGGCUGCUAACCACUGCCUUCAGUGUACAGUAUGUUAUCAGCUGGAAACCUGUAAGAUUUAACUUUACUGUCCUUCUUUCAUCUACUUGUGCAGCCUACAGAUCUUCUUGUGUAAACCAUGGUGAUAGAUUUUAUGUAGCUGCUAUUUAGCUCUGUUUAUUGAUAACUAACAGAUAAACAACUGUGGUUAACGGGGAGGUGCCCUCCAGCCUGGGGGGCAGGGGUGUGGGCACGUUACGCCACGCUGCAAUGGGUCUAUAGCUAUCCUAUGUUAGAAAGUUAUUAAUUAGCAUGUCAAAAACAUUUUAAGCUUAUUUGUUUUCCAAAGUUGCCAUUGUAGCUUUAAAUAUAUUAUAAUAUUUGAAAAACUCAUGGCAUGUUUGUUGGUGACCCAAAAAUUAUUUUGAAAGGAUGACGUUAGGAAUCCAGUCCAAACAAGCAUUUACCAUCUUUGUGAUUACGUGUGGCAGCAAAUCAAGAAUCUAUUUAAUGAUGUGUUGCAAUCUCAACUACCGUCCUCUUCUGUCCAGUUUUGUACACCUGCAAUCAAUUGAGUGAGUUGCACUAUGUUUAUGAACGUGCAGAACCAGAAAACUGAUUUAUCGUGAACAGAUAGUUCUCUGUGACAUCAAAGAGAAUAAUAUUAAAAAGAAACAUGAAUGGUCUUUGAGGGAAAAUUGGGUCAUUCUAUGUCAACUUAUUCAAAAAGUUUCAGCUGAAAAAUCAGCUUUAGAUGUGAUUCAAUUCCAAACUAUCCACAAAAUUACAUAAUUUAACAAUAAUAUUUUAUUGCUACAUAAAAUCAAAUUACCAAAAUUGCAUAUAUAUAUAGAAUAUGCAAAUAGAAAAAAUGCUGGAAGUGCUGCAGGGGUGUGAGAAAUCUUAUCUGGUGCUCUCACUGGUGCUCUUCAGCCAAGGGAUCCACAUAAAUGUUGGCAAAAGGAGAUCUGAGGCACUCAGGAGGUACAAAAAUAAAAAGCCUUUAUUAGUACAUGGCUUAAAUUGUUAAAAACAUCAAUGCCAACGCGUUUCAGCCCACAGGGCCUUC